rnacentral:tRNA from 1 species
GGCAGUUUAGGGUUUGGCUGCUAACCAAAAGGUCGGCAGUUCAAAUCCACCAGCUGCUC